rnacentral:rRNA from 1 species
UGAGGAAUAUUGGGCAAUGCCCGCAAGGGUGACCCAGCAACGCCGCGUGGAGGAUGAAUGUCGUAAGAUUGUAAACUCCUGUUAGAGGGGAAGAAUAGUACCGGUUGGACCGGUAUAUGACUGUACCCUCAGAGAAAGCCCCGGCUAACUACGUGCCAGCAGCCGCGGUAAUACGUAGGGGGCAAGCGUUGUCCGGAUUUACUGGGUGUAAAGGGAGCGCAGGCGGGAUAAAAAGUCAGUGGUGAAAUCCUACAGCUUAACUGUAGAACUGCCUUUGAUACUUUUAUUCUUGAGUUCGGGAGAGAGAGACGGAAUUCCAGGUGUAGUGGUGAAAUACGUAGAUAUCUGGAAGAACACCAGUUGCGAAGGCGGUCUCUUGGUCCGACACUGACGCUGAGGCGCGAAAGCGUGGGGAGCAAAC